AUUCCUACGGGAGGCAGCAGUGGGGAAUAUUGCACAAUGGGGGAAACCCUGAUGCAGCGACGCCGCGUGAGUGAAGAAGUAUUUCGGUAUGUAAAGCUCUAUCAGCAGGGAAGAUAAUGACGGUACCUGACUAAGAAGCCCCGGCUAACUACGUGCCAGCAGCCGCGGUAAUACGUAGGGGGCAAGCGUUAUCCGGAUUUAUUGGGUUUAAAGGGAGCGUAGGUUGACAUAUAAGUCAGCUGUGAAAGUUUACGGCUCAACCGUGAAAUUGCAGUUGAUACUGUAUGUCUUGAGUGUACAAGAGGUGGGCGGAAUUCGUGGUGUAGCGGUGAAAUGCUUAGAUAUCACGAAGAACUCCAAUUGCGAAGGCAGCUCACUGGGGUACAACUGACACUGAGGCUCGAAAGUGUGGGUAUCAAACAGGAUUAGAUACCCUGGUAGUCCACACAGUAAACGAUGAAUACUCGCUGUUUGCGAUAUACAGUAAGCGGCCAAGCGAAAGCAUUAAGUAUUCCACCUGGGGAGUACGCCGGCAACGGUGAAACUCAAAGGAAUUGACGGAAU
rnacentral:rRNA from 1 species